rnacentral:rRNA from 1 species
UAAUACGGUAGGCGGCCAAGCCUUGUCCCGGAUUUAUCGGGCCUUACACACGAGCGCAGGGCGGUUUUUUAAGUCGGAUGCAAAAGCCUUCGGCUCAACCGAAGAAGUGCAUCGGAAACUGGGAAACUUGAGUGCAGAAGAGGACAGUGGAACUCCAUGUGUAGCGGUGAAAUGCGUAGAUAUAUGGAAGAACACCAGUGGCGAAGGCGGCUGUCUGGUCUGUAACUGACGCUGAGGCUCGAAAGUAUGGGUAGCAAACAGGAUUAGAUACCCUGGUAGUCCAUACCGUAAACGAUGAAUGCUAAGUGUUGGAGGGUUUCCGCCCUUCAGUGCUGCAGCUAACGCAUUAAGCAUUCCGCCUGGGGAGUACGGCCGCAAGGCUGAAACUCAAAGGAAUUGACGGGGGCCCGCACAAGCGGUGGAGCAUGUGGUUUAAUUCGAAGCUACGCGAAGAACCUUACCAGGUCUUGACAUACUAUGCAAAUCUAAGAGAUUAGACGUUCCCUUCGGGGACAUGGAUACAGGUGGUGCAUGGUCGUCGUCAGCUCGUGUCGUGAGAUGUUGGGUUAAGUCCCGCAACGAGCGCAACCCUUAUUAUCAGUUGCCAGCAUUAAGUUGGGCACUCUGGUGAGACUGCCGGUGACAAACCGGAGGAAGGUGGGGAUGACGUCAAAUCAUCAUGCCCCUUAUGACCUGGGCUACACACGUGCUACAAUGGAUGGUACAACGAGUUGCGAACUCGCGAGAGUAAGCUAAUCUCUUAAAGCCAUUCUCAGUUCGGAUUGUAGGUUGCAACUCGCCUACAUGAAGUCGGAAUCGCUAGUAAUCGCGGAUCAGCAUGCCGCGGUGAAUACGUUCCCGGGCCUUGUACACACCGCCCGUCACACCAUGAGAGUUUGUAACACCCAAAGUCGGUGGGGUAACCUCUAGGAACCAGCCGCCUAAUGGGGACCG